GCCGGGGGCGCAGCCGGAAUGCGGAGAAUGACCGGAGGGGGCUCCGCCUGACCUCCCCACCCGCCCCCUUUCGCACGAGCAUCUGCUCCGAAAACUUAAUGAGUGAUUGAUAUUUACAGUGCCAUCGGAGGCUUUUGCUGAACAUCGUUCGGAGGGCAUCAUUGGACCUACAGUAGAUAAAGAAGUUGAAGUUCCAAAAGAUUAAAUGACUUGUCCAAGAUCACACUAAGCAAGCCUAGGAUUUGAACCCAGAUCAUCUGAUUCCAGAUCAAGUGCUAGCUCCUUCCCUAAAGACUUGUAAAAAUGAGAAACAUAAGUGUGAAGACAGAGAAUUGGAGUAGAUGACCUCCAGUGAUCCCUUCUAAGCAAGGAUUUUAUGCUUAAAACUGAUGUGUUAAGAAAACAGCCUU